rnacentral:lncRNA from 1 species
CCUUUUUAUGACACUUAAAUAUUGCUAUAAUCUAAGCACAUUUCACAUUCUAUGUCUCUUUAUGACGUUAGCUUGUUCUAUCAAUAAUAGAUUAAUACACAUGCUCUCUAGCGUGUUCUCGUAUUGCUACAUGUAUGUUCUUUUCAAUGCAACUAUCAACUUGGCAUAAUUCUCAUAAUAAUAACAUGCACAUGCAAUUUACAUAUCCAUCAAGUCUAAUACCGCUUUAUGACAUUAGCUUGCUAAGUCCAUAUCUAGUCCAAGUCUAAUGCCGCUUUAUGACAUUAGCUUGCUAAGUCCAUAUCUAGUCCAAGCCUAAUGCCGCUUUAUGACAUUAGCUUACUAUUUGUAUACACUCUAGCCUAUGUCACUUAAUGUCGAUAUGUCCAACCAUAUCAAGCAUGCUUUCUAAGUCCAAGAGUGUAAUCUAUAUACCAUAUGCAUCAUAUGCAACAUGAUCUCAAUCAAAUGUAAGAAUGCUAACCAUAAGCCCCUAGCCCAACACUCUUUACUAUAUAGAGGUCAAAUAUGUAUUGUAUAUAACAUGUGCAUUUUAAGCAUUCUAAAAUUCUCAAAUAUUCUAUCUAGUAAGAAUAUGUAUGCAUUUUCACUUUACGAUAAAUAAAAAUCCUCAUAUGAGAAGUUUAUCUCAUCUAGGUAAGGCCAAAC